AAGCGUUAAUCGGAAUCACUGGGCGUAAAGCGCGCGUAGGUGGAUAUUUAAGUCGAAUGUGAAAGCCCUAGGCUUAACCUAGGAACUGCAUCCGAUACUAAAUACCUCGAGUAUGGUAGAGGGAAGUGGAAUUUCCGGUGUAGCGGUGAAAUGCGUAGAUAUCGGAAAGAACACCAGUGGCGAAGGCGGCUUCCUGGACCAAUACUGACACUGAGGCGCGAAAGCGUGGGGAGCAAACAGGAUUAGAGACCCUGGUAGUCCACGCCGUCAACGAUGAGAACUAGCUGUUAAAAAGUUUACUUUCUAGUAGCAAAGCUAACGCGUUAAGUUCUCCG
rnacentral:rRNA from 1 species